rnacentral:hammerhead_ribozyme from 1 species
GCAUUGCAGACGAGUCCUAAACAGGACGAAACAGCUGUCCAGUGC